AAUCUGGUUGAUCCUGCCAGUAGUCAUAUGCUUGUCUCAAAGAUUAAGCCAUGCAUGUGUAAGUAUAAGUAUUAUACGGCGAAACUGCGAAUGGCUCAUUAAAACAGUUAUGAUUUAUUUGAUAAUCGAAAGUUACAUGGAUAACCGUGACAAAUUACAGCUAAUACAUGCAGUCAGACCUGGUCCAAGGGUCGUAAUUAUUAGUACCAAACCAAUUCCGCAAGGAAUGUGAUGAAUCAUAGUAAUCGAACGAAUCGCAGGUAUAUGCGAUAAGUCAUUCAAGUUUCUGCCCUAUCAGCUUUGGAUGGUAGUGUAUUGGACUACCAUGGCAGUCACGGGUAACGGAGAAUUAGGGUUCGAUUCCGGAGAGGGAGCCUGAGAAACGGCUACCACAUCUACGGAAGGCAGCAGGCGCGAAAAUUGCCCAAUCCUGACACGGGGAGGCAGUGACAAGAAAUAACAACUCUAGGUUUUCUUAGAAGUGUAAUGAGGAUAAUUUACAAACCUUACCAAAUGCAAUUGGAGGGCAAGUCUGGUGCCAGCAGCCGCGGUAAUUCCAGCUCCAAUAGCGUAUAUUAAAGUUGUUGCAGUUAAAAAGCUCGUAGUUGAAAUUCUGAUUGAUCGGGUCCUCAGCCUUUAGGCGAGGAUACCGACAGUCAUCCGCUUGCAAACAUUGCUCGAUUUUAACCGAUUGACUAUGUGAGUAAGCACUUUACCUUGAGAAAAACAGAGUGUUCCAGGCAGGUUUGUCCGGAAUGCAUUAGCAUGGAAUAAUAGAACAUGACUGAAGUCAAUUUAUUGGUUAGAGACUUUAGUAAUGAUUAAUAGGAACAGUCGGGGGCAUUCGUACUCAGCAGUCAGAGGUGAAAUUCUAAGAUUUGCUGAAGACGAACUAAUGCGAAAGCAUUUGCCAAGGAUGUUUUCAUUAAUCAAGAACGAAAGUUAGGGGAUCAAAGACGAUCAGAUACCGUCCUAGUCUUAACUAUAAACGAUACCGACUCGGAUUCAGAUGAAUCAAAAUGUUCAUUUGGGACCGUAGGAGAAAUCAAAGUCUUUGGGUUCUGGGGGGAGUAUGGUCGCAAGGCUGAAACUUAAAGGAAUUGACGGUUUUGCACCACCAUGGAGUGGAGUUUGCGGCUUAAUUUGACAACACUGGGAAACUCAUCAGGGCAAGAAGAUUUUAGGAUUGACAGAUUGAGAGUUCUUUCUUGAUUGGUCUAGUGGUGGUGCAUGGCCGUUCUUA
rnacentral:rRNA from 1 species